rnacentral:rRNA from 1 species
CAGUCGCCACGGGAAUACGUAGGGUGCAAGCGUUAAUCGGAAUUACUGGGCGUAAAGCGUGCGCAGGCGGUUAUAUAAGACAGAUGUGAAAUCCCCGGGCUCAACCUGGGAACUGCAUUUGUGACUGUAUAGCUAGAGUACGGCAGAGGGGGAUGGAAUUCCGCGUGUAGCAGUGAAAUGCGUAGAUAUGCGGAGGAACACCGAUGGCGAAGGCAAUCCCCUGGGCCUGUACUGACGCUCAUGCACGAAAGCGUGGGGAGCAAACAGGAUUAGAUACCCGGGUAGUCCCUGUCUCUUAUAU